rnacentral:tRNA from 1 species
UCCGUUGUGGUGUAACGGUUAGCAUCCGUCGCUUUCACCGACGAGAUCGGGGUUCGAUUCCCCGCAACGGAG